rnacentral:rRNA from 1 species
CCUACGGGUGGCUGCAGUGGGGAAUAUUGGUCAAUGGGGGAAACCCUGAUCCAGCGACGCCGCGUGAGUGAAGAAGUACUUCGGUACGUAAAGCUCUAUCAGCAGGAAAGAAAAUGACGGUACCUGACUCAGACGCCCCGGCCAACUACGUGCCAGCAGCCGCGGUAAUACGUAGGGGGCAAGCGUUAUCCGGAUUUACUGGGUGUAACGGGAGCGUAGACGGAAGCGCAAGUCUGGAGUGAAAGGCCGGGGCCCAACCGCGGAACUGCCCUUGAAACUGUGAAGCUGGAGUGCAGAAGAGGUGGGCGGAAUUCCUGGUGUAGCGGUGAAAUGCGUAGAUAUCAGGAGGAACACCGGCGGCGAAGGCAGCUUACUGGACUGUAACUGACGUUGAGGCUCGAAGGCGUGGGGAGCAAACAGGAUUAGAUACCCUUGUAGUC